UACCAGACUCCUACGGGAGGCAGCAGUGGGGGAUAUUGCACAAUGGGGGAAACCCUGAUGCAGCGACGCCGCGUGGGCGAAGAAGUAUUUCGGUAUGUAAAGCCCUAUCAGCAGGGAAGAAGAAAUGACGGUACCUGAGUAAGAAGCACCGGCUAAAUACGUGCCAGCAGCCGCGGUAAUACGUAUGGUGCAAGCGUUAUCCGGAUUUACUGGGUGUAAAGGGAGCGCAGGCGGCACGGCAAGCCUGAUGUGAAGGCCCGCGGCCCAACCGCGGGACUGCAUUGGGAACUACCGGGCUGGAGUGCCGGAGAGGUAGGCGGAAUUCCUAGUGUAGCGGUGAAAUGCGUAGAUAUUAGGAGGAACACCAGUGGCGAAGGCGGCUUACUGGACUGUAACUGACGUUGAGGCUCGAAAGCGUGGGGAGCAAACAGGAUUAGAUACCCCAGUAA
rnacentral:rRNA from 1 species